rnacentral:rRNA from 1 species
GGAUGAACGUUGGCGGCGUGCCUAAUACAUGCAAGUCGAACGAAGACUGUAGUAAUACUGUCUUAGUGGCGAACGGGUGAGUAACGCGUGGGUGACCUGCCCCGAAGUGUGGGAUAACAGUUCGAAAGGAUUGCUAAUACUGCAUAAUAUCCAAGAGAUUAGACGCUUUUGGGUUAAAGGAGUAAUUCGCUUCGGGAGGGGCCCGCGUCCCAUCAGCUAGUUGGUAAGGUAAUGGCUUACCAAGGCGAUGACGGGUAGGGGACCUGAGAGGGUGGCCCCCCACAAUGGAACUGAAACACGGUCCAUACACCUACGGGUGGCAGCAGUAGGGAAUAUUAGUAAUGGGCGAAAGCCUGAACUAGCAACGCCGCGUGUGCGAAGAAGGCCUUCGGGUUGUAAAGCACUUUUUGAGAGGAUGAGGAAGGACGGUACUCUCAGAAUAAGUCUCGGCUAACUACGUGCCAGCAGCCGCGGUAACACGUAGGAGGCAAACGUUAUCCGGAUUUACUGGGCGUAAAGCGCGUGUAGGUGGUUUGGUAAGUAGGGCGUGAAAGCUCCUGGCUCAACUGGGAGAGGACGUUCUAAACUGCCAAGCUUGAGGAUGGUAGAGGGAGGUGGAAUUCCGGGUGUAGCGGUGGAAUGCGCAGAUAUCCGGAGGAACACCAGUGGCGAAGGCGGCCUCCUGGACCACUCCUGACACUCAGACGCGAAAGCUAGGGUAGCAAACGGGAUUAGAGACCCCGGUAGUCCUAGCCCUAAACGAUGUAGACUUGGCGUCGGUGGUUUAAUCGCCAUCGGUGUCGUAGCUAACGCGUUAAGUCUACCGCCUGGGGACUACGGCCGCAAGGUUAAAACUCAUAGGAAUUGACGGGUCCCCGCACAAGCAGCGGAGCGUGUGGUUUAAUUCGAUGCUACACGAAGAACCUUACCUGGGUUUGACAUAGAGGUAGUAGGGAAGCGAAAGCGGACCGACCCUUCGGGGAGCCUCUACAGGUGUUGCAUGGCUGUCGUCAGCUCGUGUCGUGAGGUGUCGGGUUAAGUCCCAUAACGAGCGCAACCCACGUUGUUAGUUACCAGCAUGUCAAGAUGGGGACUCUAACAAGACUGCCGGUGUAAACCGCGAGGAAGGUGUGGAUGACGUCAAAUCAGCACGGCCCUUACAUCCAGGGCUACACACGUGUUACAACGGCCGGUACAGAGGGUCGCUACUUCGCGAGAAGAUGCCAAUCCUACAAAACCGGUCUCAGUUCGGAUUGGAGUCUGCAACCCGACUCCAUGAAGCUGGAUUCGCUAGUAAUCGCGCAUCAGCCAUGGCGCGGUGAAUACGUUCCCGGGCCU